rnacentral:rRNA from 1 species
UAGGGUGCGAGCGUUGUCCGGAUUUACUGGGCGUAAAGCGCGUUCAGGCGGUUUGGCAAGUCGGGCAUGAAAUCUCUCGGCUCAACCGGGAGAGGUUGUCCGAUACUGCUGGACUUGAGGGCAGUAGAGGGUGGUGGAAUUCCGGGUGUAGUGGUGAAAUGCGUAGAUAUCCGGAGGAACACCAGUGGCGAAAGCGGCCACCUGGACUGCACCUGACGCUGACACGCGAAAGCUAGGGGAGCGAACGGG